rnacentral:rRNA from 1 species
AUUGAACGCUGGCGGCAUGCUUUACACAUGCAAGUCGAGCGGUAACAGGCCUUCGGGUGCUGACGAGUGGCGCACGGGUGCGUAAUGCAUCGGAACGUACCCAGAGGUGGGGGAUAACGCAGCGAAAGCUGUGCUAAUACCGCAUGUGAUCUGAGGAUGAAAGCGGGGGACCGAGCAGCAAUGUUUGGCCUCGCGCCUUUGGAGCGGCCGAUGUCGGAUUAGCUAGUUGGUGGGGUAAAGGCCUACCAAGGCGACGAUCCGUAGCUGGUCUGAGAGGACGACCAGCCACACUGGGACUGAGACACGGCCCAGACUCCUACGGGAGGCAGCAGUGGGGAAUUUUGGACAAUGGGCGCAAGCCUGAUCCAGCAAUGCCGCGUGCGGGAAGAAGGCCUUCGGGUUGUAAACCGCUUUUGGCAGGAACGAAACGGUGUCCGCUAAUACCGGGCGCUAAUGACGGUACCUGCAGAAUAAGCACCGGCUAACUACGUG